AAAACAAGUUGCUGCUGAUACUGAAUCCAGAGAGGUGAACAGAUUUCCCCUUCCUAAUAAUACAACCACAGCAACAGCAGCUGUGACUGAGGAGAAACCAGAACUAACAUCUCUUCAAGAGGGGACCCCCUGAUUCAACAGGCAUUAUUCAUUAUCUGAAGGCUGGGAAGGAGACUGAUAGACUAAGAACCUUGGCUGAUCCUCUGGAGACAGACUGCUCCUUAAUCUUGAGAUGGACAAAUCUCCAUAAGCCUUCCAAUGGUCUUCUGACAAUACGGCCUUGAAUUAUAUUCUUUUCUAACCUGGCCUUCCAUAUGUAUUUUUCUAGGCCCCUAAGGAGGAGAAGGGCAAAUAGGGAAUUAUGUUUGGAUUGGCUGGACAAAUAGAAAAGAACGGUGCAUGUUAGAUAAAAUCACAGUAGACUACAAAAAUAUUUCUGAAUUCAUCAUUCUACAGUAAUG
rnacentral:lncRNA from 1 species